UCCAGGUCCUUAUUUGUGCACAGACCGCCAGCUGCCAAGAUCUCCAAAUCUCCUCGAUUCGGGCAUCCUCGCAUUAGCUCAAGCACCAUCCACAGAAGGAAGUGCUCGCUUAGAGAAACUUGCUGAGUCUGGAAAGGCACAGGACAGGUCCUGCGCAGGCCUGUCUUGGCCUUGGCUCAGCGGCGCCUGCCAGUUACCUUUCACCUACUUCAGCAGCGACCGCCUAGCGGGGUAACUCCAGGUCAGACGAGGAUCUCCGCGCGCCUGCGCAGAGCUGGCUGCCGGCUGCAGCUAAGCAUCCCGAGGUGUUUUUUUUCCCCCCUUUUUUUGUGAUUUCUGUUCUUCUCAGAAAUGAAGGUUGUGGGCCUUGCGGACGUGCACUGAUUUUUGUGUGGGCACGGUCGCAGGCCAGACAGAGCAACGUGGACCUCUCUCUAAAGUAGUCACGCAGCACUGACAACCCCAGGCUCCCCGUCCUUCCCUUCCCCCCAUUGCUGGACUUCCCGCUCCCCACUCUCCCACAGCUGGGGGCUGCCCAUCUCCUCCCCUCAUCUCCGCCCUGAUCACUGCCCCCGGAAAAGAGCAAGGCUCUCUCCGGAGCUAGAGAGGAGCACAUUCGAGCAAGAAGCUACGUGGGUGCAAACUUAACACUCAAGUUCCUGCCCGGGAGGAGCCGGAUCUAACAACUAGGUUGCAAACCAGAGGAGUCGCGCUGGUUGAAGGCGGCUCGGCUGCCGCGCGCCUCGGGGUUACUAUCGGGCAUCGCGCGGGCGGGGCUGGCGCUAGGAGGGGCACGCCCUCGGCCUCUGGAACCACCAUAGUGGAAACACAGUCAUCUGGAGAAGUCUGAGGCUCUCAACCACACCACCCUUGAUGAUAGUCGAGGUCCUCUUGACUUUUAGAGAGUGACCUCUUUCCUGGCAUCCCAAGAAUCUGGGGAGAGUCAACGAGAAACUUAUUUUCCAAAACACCUUUUGCUGCAGGAGCUCAUGCCCCGCCCUCCCUACCUCUGGUGUCUGAAGUUGGACAAUGAUCCCCAACAGGUGCAAACAGGAUACCUCGGUUUGACCAGGCUUUGUGACUAGCGAAACCAAGAAAACUCCUCAUCCGUUUCACCUAAGAGCCAGAUUCUAAGAGCCAGACUAGGUGUCUUGGGUAUACUUUAACUUUUCUGGACCCAAAUUUUCCUGGUUAUAAAGUGAGAUCUAACAUAGAUAACCUGUGUUAAUAACCCUCCCCACUGGGUCCUACCCACAUACAAACAUGGAAGGAGAAUGAUUUUUAAACCAAAAUACAACAAGUCAAUUGCACAAAUGAAUCCACAGAGAUUGUAACAGCAUACACAAAAUCUAGAUAAGAUCAAGCCAGACAAAAACCAAGCACGGAACACAGGAUGAACAUGAAGUCCUAUCCUUCGCUGAAGUGUGCAACCAAGACCACGUUGGAGGAUUCAUGCCCUUAGCACCAGGUUGGGACCACUGAGAUAUCCAACCUUGUGAACCGAGCAGCUGUGGGUUAUCAACCUCUUCAGCAUGGAGAUGGCCAUGUUGGACGACCUAGACCAUAUUGUCAGGUAUGGAGGCUGGCAGGAUUGCCCAAGCAGAAGACAGGAGGAACAACCUGUUGGGGAAAAACCUUUAGAGCAUUUGCUUGUGAGAGCUGUCAUAAGAAAUGCCUUGGUGUCGAAACAACAGAAUCUACUUCCUCAGAGUUUGGGAGUCCAAGACUCAAGAUGGAGGUGUCGGCAGGGUGGGAGUCCUUCUCUCCUGGUUUGUAAACAGUCGUCUUCUUGCUGUGUCCACACAAGCUCUUUCCACGUCAUGUGCUUUUAUUCCUGGUGCCUCUCAGAGUCAAUGUUUCUUUUUCUCAUAAGGGUACCAAUUAAGGAUGACUUAGGGACCCUAAUAGACUCCUUUUCUGUGUUUUGUAAAGAAUAAAUAUAAAUUUUUAUUAUAUUUCUUCACCUACCA